AUGCAUGUCUCAGUACAAGCCGUCCCGCACGGUGAAACCGCGAAAGGCUCAUUAAAUCAGUUAUGGUUCCUUAGAUCGUACCCACGUUACAUGGAUAACUGUGGUAAUUCUAGAGCUAAUACAUGCCGACAGAGCUCCGACCAGCGCGUCGCGCGUUCGGCGGUUCGCCCGUCGUCGCCGGCCGUUCGGAAGGAGCGCUUUUAUUAGAUCAAAACCGGCCAAGCGCGUCGUUCGCGCUUCGCGCGCGUUCGCGCGUAAGUGGCCCGCGCAAAGACUUGACGACUCUGAAUAACUUCUAGCUGAUCGCACGGUCCUAGUACCGGCGACGUAUCUUUCAAAUGUCUGCCUUAUCAACUGUCGACGGUAGGUUCUACGCCUACCGUGGUGGUAACGGGUAACGGGGAAUCAGGGUUCGAUUCCGGAGAGGGAGCCUGAGAAACGGCUACCACAUCUAAGGAAGGCAGCAGGCGCGUAAAUUAUCCAAUC
rnacentral:rRNA from 1 species